GCACACAUGUUAAGGAAAAAUGGGCAAAAAAUCUCUAUCUUUCCUGUCUCUGCUAUGGACGAACUGUAUCUUGAGAGGAUGGAAAAUCUGAUGUUGGACAUUUUUCCUUCACCCCUUUUAUUUUCUCAUUGUCAGUCAAUUGUAAAAAGUGAGGAAAUCUUAAUUAUGGUGGCACUUGCUUCUUUUAGCUUGUUUGGAUAGUGGCAAACUUUCUCGUCUCUUG
rnacentral:misc_RNA from 1 species